AGUACGCUAUAGAGUUUGAUCAUGGCUCAGGAUGAACGCUGGCGGCGUGCUUAACACAUGCAAGUCGAACGAUGAUCUCCAGCUUGCUGGGGGGAUUAGUGGCGAACGGGUGGGUAACACGUGAGUAACCUGCCCUUGACUCUGGGAUAAGCCUGGGAAACUGGGUCUAAUACCGGAUACGACUGCCUGACGCAUGUCAUGGUGGUGGAAAGCUUUUGCGGUUUUGGAUGGACUCGCGGCCUAUCAGCUUGUUGGUGGGGUAAUGGCCUACCAAGGCGAUGACGGGUAGCCGGCCUGAGAGGGUGACCGGCCACACUGGGACUGAGACACAGCCCAGACUCCUACGGGAGGCAGCAGUGGGGAAUAUUGCACAAUGGGCGAAAGCCUGAUGCAGCGACGCCGCGUGAGGG
rnacentral:rRNA from 1 species